AUUGAACGCUGGCGGCAUGCCUUACACAUGCAAGUCGAACGGCAGCACGGGGGGCAACCCUGGUGGCGAGUGGCGAACGGGUGAGUAAUACAUCGGAACGUGCCCGAUAGUGGGGGGAUAGCUCGGCGAAAGCCGGAUUAAUACCGCAUACGACCUACGGGUGAAAGCGGGGGAUCGCAAGACCUCGCGCUAUCAGAGCGGCCGAUGUCAGAUUAGGUUGUUGGUGGGGUAAAGGCCUACCAAGCCGACGAUCUGUAGCUGGUCUGAGAGGACGACCAGCCACACUGGGACUGAGACACGGCCCAGACUCCUACGGGAGGCAGCA
rnacentral:rRNA from 1 species